CUUUCAGGCAGCGAGCGCAGAGACGCCUCGGGAGGCAGGAGGCACUGCUUGAGGAGACGCAGAUAAGUUUUUCUCUUAAAAAAAAAAAAGCUAGGAAUGAAUACAGUUCUUUAGGAAGUGUAAAUAGUGCUAAAACUUAAUGAAUUGCAUAGCAUUAAAUUCUUACAGUAAUCUUAAAAAGAACUUAAAGGGAAAAUAAUGAAGACCUUAAAGAGUAGUUUAAGAAAGAAAAAGCUCUUUCUAGAACCAGACGGAGGCUAGGAGGUGAAACUUCUUAAUGGAGUGGAGAAAACCUAAUUUUUAAAGAAAUUGCUUAAAAGGACGGCAAAGUCCGGGAUUCAAAAAAUCCGUAAAUCGAAGGGCAGCCAUUUAGGUUGACGUUAAAAUGUAAAUGACCUAAAUAGAGCUUAAGUGUCGUUUUUUCUUUAAAAAAGGCAAGUUGUAGGUGACUUUUGUCUUUUAAAAAGAUAAACUUUAAGGUGAUUUAAGAGCCCUUCAAAUUAAUGGCGCAGUGAUGAUUGCAUCAUUUGCAACCUAGAUCUUAAAGUAGGACUUCCUAAAAGCUGACAAAUACUAGGAGUGGUAGGAUGAAAAUUUGGAGAGAUUAGAAAGUUGAAGUGGAGAACUCAGAAGACAGAAGUACAGGAAGGUGAAGACUUAAAGACAGAAGUACAGGAAGGUGAAGAAAAGAUUUAGAGAAGAUAGGAAAAUUGGAAGAAAAAUUACACGCCUUUUAGAAGACAGAAAAAUACUAUAAACCCUUGAAGGCAGGAAGCGGAAGAAAAAAUAGAGAAACUAGAAAAACAAGGCAACUAAGGUCUCAUAUACAAGUUGAGGAGAAAGCCAGAAGUUGGAAACGAGGUGGAAAAUACGGGCAGGGCAAGUAUUUCAGGUAGAAAAUGGAAAACAAGCUAGGACAACUAUUGAAUACAAGUGCACAAGAUAGACCUCAAAAAAGAAGAUAGAAAAGUCUAAGCCAAAAAAUUGGAUAAAGUACAAGAAAAGAAAAGCUAAGGAGGAAACUAAUUUUUAAAUUCUUAGUGGAAUUUCUCCUAAAAGCCCAUGAGUUUAAAUUCUGGUGGUACAGAAGCUAGAUUUGAGAAGAUGAGGGUGUUAAAACUACUGUAGACCGGGACCAACUUAGAAGAAUUAACCCGGAGCUAGAAGGGAAAGUUAAAAAUCAGUUGUACAACUUUUGCUACUAAAAGGACUGAAGUUAUUUAAGAACCCAGGUAGGAUAUUUCUGGAGAGUUAAAAAUGUGAGUUUAAAUACAGUAGCUUUUAGUGUCUUGGAGAAUUUAAAGAACUUUUCAUAACAAGUAAUUCAAGAUCAAGAAUUAACUACCAACUUAACAUUUUCACAUUGGACUUUGAGCUAAGAUUUUUUAAAUCCUGAGGACUAGCGUUAAUUGGCAGCUGACCCAGGUACUACGCAGAAGUGGAUUCAGUGAAUCUAGGAAGACAGGAGCAGCAGACAGGAUUCCAGGAGCCAGUGUCGGUGAAGCUAGGACUGAGGAGCGAGCUGCAGCAGUUCGUGGUGAAGAUAGGAAGGAGAGCGAAGUCCGGGAGCCAGUGCGGUUUGGUGAAGGAAGGAAGCUAGGAAGAAAGAAGGAGCCCUAACGAUUUGGAGGUGAAGCUAGGAGAGAGGAUUCCAGGAAGGAGGAGCCAGUGCGAUGUGGUGAUGAAGCUAGCGAGCGGCUUGGCUUGGCGACCACGCGGAGGCGGCGAGCAGGCGGUGUGGAGGAUAGAUAGAGGAUCCUAGAGCAGCAUCCCAGUGUGCGAGGCCGCAGGGAGAGCGAGUGGUGUGGGAAAAACCCGCGAGGUCGGCGAGGUCGGCUAACGUGCUUUUUGUAACUGGAGUAUGGUAACGUUUUACUUGGUUUUCUAAUGGUAACGGGGGCGUUGAGUACUUAAGCGCUAAGGGAUUUGUGGGGUGUAGGCCGAUUUCCGGGUGUUGUAGGUUUCUCUUUUUCAGGCUUGUUUUCUCAUCUUGUCUGAAGCUUUUGAGGGCAGACUUCCAAGGCCCGGAGGAAUGGUAGAUGGCAAGUUUUUUUGUUUUUAACCAAUUUGAGGGAAACCGAAUGAAUUUGUUAGAACAGCCUUGAGACAAGUUUUAUAAGUUUUUAUUUUUAGUUCGGGAUAAUGAAGCCGUUCAGUUUUGUGAAUAGAUGACCUAUUUUUCUUCCCUUACCCCCUAUUAAAGUUUAUACUGAAUGUGGAGUUGGGUGUGUAACGGGGGGGGGGUUGGGGAUGGGGGGCAAAAUAUGUUUUAAGUUUUUUUCCCCUUAGGUCUGUCUAGAGUCCCAAAGGCAAAUGACUCAAGGUAACAGAAAAAAAGAAAAUCCAGUAUCAGGAUAAUCAGAGCACCACAGGUUUACAGUUUCUAGAAAUAGAGCACGAGCAGCCCUCACUUUUCAGUUCUGUGGCGGAGCUGUCCAUUGGAGAAAUGGCUGGUAGUUCUCUUUUUUUCCACCCUUUCAUCAAAUUCUUAAUACAUAAUCCUUUAAAUUCAUUAUAUUUACUUACUAUUUUGGGGUGGCCUUACCAGGGAAGAGGGUGGGGGAGAAAAUUUUCUUUCUAAGAUUUUCCACAGAUGCUAUAGUACUAUUGACAAACUGGGUUAGAGAAGGAUUGUACUGCUACGCUGUUGGCACGAACACCUUCAGGGAUUGGAGCUGCUUUUUUCCUUGGAAGAGUAUUCCCAGUUGAAGCUGAAAUGGUACAGCACAGUGCAGCUUUGGUUCAUGUUCAAUCUUCUCAGGAGCACUUCAGAAGAGCUUGACUAGGCCAAAUGUUGAAGUUACGUUUACGUUUUCAAGUAAUGUGACCUUUAACUUUUAUUAAAGGGGAGGGGCAAAUUUUGGCAGUUGGCCUUAGCGUGUUAAUGGUUGGGAUUUGGGAGGGCUGGGGUUAGGUAAUUGUUUAGUUUAUGAUUUCAGAUAACUCAUGCCAGAGAACUUAAAUACUUAGGAUGGAAAAACUAAAGAAAUCUCAACUUCCAAGUUGGCAAGUAACUCCCAAUCCUCUAGUUUUUGUUUUCCCCCAAUUUUUGAAUUGGGCAGCUGGGGAAGUUCAUGAAGAUCCACUGGAUUCAGCGUGUAGGGCCUGGGGAAGGAAAGUAUAGGACUGGGGGUUGGUCUAGCCCGUUGGCUGACUUAGAUAAUAAUACCUUGGGAAUUUUUUUUUUUUUUAAAUGGCUAAAGUUGUUUGGAUAUGGUAGUGUGUGGUUCUCUUUUGGAAUUUUUUUCAGGUGAUUUAAUAUAACUUAAUACUACUUUAGGAGCUUCAGAGCAAAGGAAGUGGCUUAAUGAUCCUGAAGGGAUUUCUUCUGAUGGUAGCUUUUAUAUUAUCAAGUAAGAUUCUAUUUUCAGUUGUGUAUAAGCAAGUUUUUUUUUAGUGUAGGAAAAGUAUUUUGCCUUUGUAUGACUGCAAACAAGAUGUUAAGGUAUGCUUCAAAAUUACUGUAAAUUGUGUAUUUUAAUCAUUUCUGAUAAAGAGGGUGGGGUUUUGUGGAUGAGGGAGGGGAAACCUUUUUUUUUCUGUAGCCUUUUUUCAGAUAACAACUUCUGAGUCAUAACCAGCCUGGCAAUAUGAUGGCCUAGAUGGAGAGGGAACAGCUCCUUGGUGAAUGAUAAGUAAAGGCAGAAAAGAUUAUAUUUCAUAUCUCCAUGGGGGAAAAAAAGCAUAACCCUGAGAUCCUUACUACUGAUGAACGCGUUGUCUGCAUAUGCAAAAAAAAAAAAAAAAUUAAGCAAAUGAAACUACCAAUUUAAAGUUAAUGGAAAAAAAAGAAAAAUAAAGAUAAUGGAAUCUACCAUUUUAAAAGUUAUGGCCUAUCAAGCUAUACCCACCAAAAAAAGAAUUGAUGAGAAAUAAUAUAAUGAAUUGAUGAGCAAUACAACGAAGAUCAAAUGUCCAUCUCAAAAUACUGCUUUUACAAAAGCAGAAUAAAAAAUGAAAUGAAAAUGAUAAUACCAACAUUAAUCCUGGAAUAAAAGAAGCUGAAAUAAUUCAGAGUGGGAUCAAGUGGAUUAAAGAGGAGGCUGUGCUGUUUGCCAAUCUUUCGUUUGCCUCAGACAGGUUUCUCUUCAUUAUCAGAAGAGUUGCUUCAUUUCAUCUGGGAGCAGAAAACAGCAGGCAGCUGUUAACAGAUAAGUUGAACUUGAAUAUGCAGUAUUGCAUGUUAGGGCUAAGUGCUUAUUUUUAAUAAAAGCUGUGGAGGUCUUUUAAGUAUUGAACAUGGCUGUUUUUCCUGAUCCCUUUCCUAAGGGAUUCUAGGAUUGUGAGGGAUUUUCCUAUCUAGCCUUUAAAAUUACACAGGACUUGUACCUGUGGCUUGCAUGAUGGGAUAGCAUACCUCACUCAGGCCAAGUAAUCUUUAAAAGCCUUGAAAGGUAGUACCUUAAUCAUAAGACCGUAUUUAUAAAACUAAGAAUUGGUUGAGCAUUGACUCUCUUAAAUCCUCCAAAAGGAUAGCCUAUUGUGCUGUUAACAAAAAUCUGAUGUUAAUCUUGAUAAAACUUAAAUGUGUUGUGAUGUAUACGUUGUGCAGAAAACAUUAAAUCAUGCAAAAUAAAACAUUUUAAUGUAGAGAAUGUAUGCAUUUAGAAAGCGGUCUCCUCAUUUAAAUAAAGUAUUGUUUGUUUGUAGUUAGUGUUGGGCAAUCUUGGGGGGAUUCUUCUCUAAUCUUUCAGAAACUUUGUCUGCGAACACUCUUUAACGGACAAGAUCAGGAAUUGAGCGGAAGAACGAAUUUAACUUUAAGGCAGGAAAAAUACUUUAUCCUUCGUAAAGUGAUGAGCAUUUAAUAAUUCCAGGCACAUGGCAAUAGAGGCCCUCUAAAUAAGGAAUAAAUACCUCUUAGACAGGUGGGAGAUUAUGAUCAGAAUAACAGGUAACUGCACCUACACUAUUCCCAGAAAGUUAGGGGUCUAUAAAUUGACAGUGGUAGAGUAAUAAAAUACUGUCCACAUUUCCAGAGUUUGCAUGUUACCUUUAAAUGCUAAUAGUCAUCUCCUCUGGUGUUAGCCAGUGUUUACACAACUGGCCUUUCCUAUAGGUACUUGGUGGGGGGGCAUGUGGGUUUUUAAAGAAUUUUCCUUUGCAGAGGCUUCAUUUCACAUCCUUCAUGAAGCUGUUCAGGAUUUUGACUUGGCAUAUAAGCACGUGGCUCUGCCUUCUGUUCUAGUGAGUGUGUGAGACCUUGCAGUGUAUCAGCAUAAAUACUCAAGUAAAGUUUUCCCCCUGAUUUUGGAGGGAAGGGAGGAGGGGGUGGGGCUUACUUGUUUUAGCUUUUUUUUUUACAGACCACACAGAGAAUGCAGUUGUCUUGACCUCAGGUCUGUCUGUUCUGUUGGCAAGUAAUGCAGUACUGUUCUGAUCUGCUGCUAUUAGAAUGCAUUGUGAAACGACUGGAGUAUGAUUAAAAGUUGUGUUCCCCCAAUGCUUGGAGUAGUGAUUGUUGAAGGAAAAUCCAGCUGAGUGAUAAAGGCUGAGUGUUGAGGAAAUUUCUGCAGCUUUAAGCAUUCGUGUUUGUGAUUGAAGCCAAGUACCUUUUGCUGUGCUUCUUUAGGUAAAAUGCUUUUUGUUCACUUCUCGUAGGGGGGUGGGGGGGCACUGAAGCCUUUAGUCUUUUCCAGAUGCAACCUUAAAAUCAGUGACAAGACAUAAAUUCCAAACAAGCAACAGUCUUCAAGAAAUUGGCAAGUGGAAAUGUUUACCAGUUCAGUGGUCUUAGUGCAUUGUCUUUGUGUGGGUUUCUCUCUCCCCUCCCUUGGUCUUAAUUCUUAUACGCAGGAACAUUCAAAACAGCAGACGUAUGCGAAGGGCCAGAGAAGCCAGACCAGUAAGGAAAAAAAAUAGCUUAUUUACUUUAAAUAAACAUUCCAUUUUAAAUGUGGGGAUUGGGAACCACUAGUUCUUUCAGAUGGUAUUCUUCAGACUAUAGAAGGAGCUUCCAGUUGAAUUCACCAGUGGACAAAAUGAGGACAACAGGUGAACAAGCUUUUUUAUAUAUUUACAUACCAAGUCAGAUCCAUUAUGAAUAAUCUAGUGUUAAAUAGACUUUUCAGCUUUAUGCUGGAAUAAAUAGCAUGUGAGCAAGCUGUUUGUUGGCCUGGGGGUGGAGGGGUGAGGUGGGCGCUAAGCCUUUUUUUAAGAUUUUUCAGGUACCCCUCCCUAAAGGCACCGAAGGCUUAAAGUAGGACAACCACGGAGCCUUCCUGUGGCAAGAGAGACAACAAAGCGCUAUUAUACUAAGGUCAAUAAAAAUGGUGUCGGCCUCAUAACCCCAUCUUCUGCUAGAAAUGAGGACUUGCCUCAACACCCUUGGCACUGAGGCUCUCUUCGGGGAAUGGAGCAUCUAAAGGAGUGUUUUUGAGUACCUUCUAUAUCCCUGGGCUUGUCCUGUCCUGACAUUUAAUUACGCUGCUUUUAUAGCAGCUCUUCAAAAAGCCCAAACCUCAAGUGAUGGUUGAAGGGGAGGGAAAUGGGGAAAGCGGGCAACCACUUUUCCCUAGCUUUUCCAGAAACCUGUUAAAAAGCAAGGUCUCCCCACAAGUGACUUCUCUGCCACAUCGCCACUGCCUGCCUUUGGCCUAGCGCAGACCCUUCACCCCUCACCUCGAUGCUGCCAGUAGCUUGGAUCCUUGAGGGCAUGAUCCGUAAUCGGUUUCAAGGUAACUGGUGCUGAGGUCUUCUGGUGGGUUGCAGUACUAGAAAAGGCCAUUAAUUUGCCUGCAAAUGGUUAAUGUUAUUAAAACCACAACUAAAAGCUCUACGAUGUUUAAAUAUGUAACACCCUUAUCCCAUGAUUAAAACACUUAAGCCAGUGAAUGGAGAAAUAACGUUUGAGGCUGUAAUGUUGGGUGGGAAAAUACACCUUACAAACUGAAGAAGAUAGGAAAUUUUAGUCUCGAGGACUGUUGGGGUGGGAUUGCAAAAAUUCUCUGCUAAGACUUUUUCAGGUGAACAUAACAGAUUUGGCCAAGCUAGCAUCUUAGCUGAAGCAGAUUCUCCAGUGUUCUUCAGUAGGGUUGUAAAGGUUUUGCUUUUUGGCCUUUUGCUAGCUUAAAAAAAAAAAGCAAAAGAUGCUGGUGGUUGGCACUCCUGGUUUCCAGGACAGGGUUCAAAUCCCUGCGGCGUCUUUGCUUGACUGUAAACUGUCUUCAGCCUCUUUCCAUUUUCUUCUCUUUAGGAGCUAGGCUUUGGGGUUUGGGGGAGGUGGAAAAGAACUUUGUUGAAUUUGUCAGCAAUCUAAAUCCAUAUUUAUGUGGGAACCUAAUCUCUAAUUUUCAGGUAGUCCCCAUGCAUCUAAUGUUUAGAGAAGCCUUACUGUAGAAAACUUAAAAUUUCAUAUUAAUAAAAAUAAAAUUGAAAAGCUCUU